rnacentral:rRNA from 1 species
AACGAACGCUGGCGGCAUGCCUAACACAUGCAAGUCGAACGAGACCUUCGGGUCUAGUGGCGCACGGGUGCGUAACGCGUGGGAACCUGCCCUUAGGCUCGGAAUAACUCCCCGAAAGGGGUGCUAAUACCGGAUAACUUCUUCUGACCACAGAUUUAUCCCCUUUGGAUGGGCCCGCGUUAGUUUAGCGAGGUGGUAGGGUAAAAGCCUACCAAGGCGACGAUCCAUAGCUGGGCUGAGAGGAGGAGCAGCCACACUGGGACUGAGAAACGGCCCAGACUCCGACGGGAGGCAGCAGUGGGGAAUAUUGGAGAAAGGGCGAAAGCAUGAUCGAGCCAGAGCGCGUGGGUGAAGAAGGCCUUCGGGUUGGAAAGCCCUGUUGUUGGGAAAGAAAAGAAGCAGGUUAAUACCCCGCUGGGAUGACGGUACCCAAAGAAGAAGCACCGGCUAACUUCGUG